ensembl:snoRNA
GUGGCAAUGAUGAUUGUCGCAGGGGUACUGACCUCCGCUAGAUCAUGGGAGCUGAAUGUGAACUCUGUUUAUUUUUCCAGUGUGAUGAACAUGUGGAAACAGGUUCACAUGAAAACUUUGCCUAGAACUGAGCCAU